CUACGGUGAAUACGUUCCCGGACCUUGUACACACCGCCCGUCAAGCCAUGGAAGCUGGGUGUACCUAAAGUCGGUAACCGCAAGGAGCCGCCUAAGGUAAAACUAGUAACUGGGGCU
rnacentral:rRNA from 1 species